GCCUCAAAUCUAGCCAACCAAACACCCAAGUCAUUUAAACCAGUCAAAUCAAAACAUUUUAUUUGGUCAGUAAAUGAGAUUAAACACCAAUUACUUUGGCCUCAAAAAGUACCGCAAGGGAAAACUGAAAGAACAAUGAAAUACCUAAGCAUAAAGUAGCAAAGAUCAACCCCUGUACCUCUUGCAUCAUGGUUUAGCAAAAUUCCCCCAGACAAAGAGAAACUAUUAAGCCUGUUUUCCCGAAACCAAACGAGCUAUUUUUAGGCAGCUAAAACUGAGCACACCCAUCCCUGUAGCAAAAGGGUGGGAAGACCUAAAAAUAGAGGCGAAAAACCAAACGAGUUUGGUGAUAGCUGGUUACUCAGCAAAAGAAUUUAAGUUCAACUUUAGGUGCCCAUUAGGCACACCUAUUUAAGCCCUCUACCUAAAGAAAAUCAAUGGGGGUACAGCUCCAUUGAACCGGAAUACAGCCCGAACUGAGAAUACCCCUUAACUUUUACUAUUAGUAGGCCUCAAAGCAGCCACCAACAAUCGCGUUACAGCACCUUUUACCCCAAUAUUAACAACACACUACCCCUCCAGAUUUUCCCUGGGUUACUCUAUAAUUAUAUAGAGAUACUAAUGCUAAAACUAGUAAUAAGAAACAUUACUUCUCUACGCAUCUCCUUAAAUCAGAAUAGAAAAACUACUGACUUUUAACAAACCAAAACACUGACUUAUACAUACUAGCUUUAACGUCACCCAAACUUGUUACCCCAACACAGGAGUGCAAAAAAGAAAGGCAAAAAGCUGUAAAAGGAACUCGGCAAAAAAUGUCCCAACUGUUUACCAAAAACAUAGCCUUUAGCCAAACAAGUAUUAAAGGUUCCGCCUGCCCAGUGACUCUUAAUAAACGGCCGCGGUAUCCUAACCGUGCAAAGGUAGCAUAAUCACUUGUCCUUUAAAUAAGGACUAGCAUGAAUGGCUAAAUGAGGACCUAACUGUCUCUUACAACUUGCCAAUGAAACUGAUUUUCCAGUACAAAAGCUGGAAUAAACUCAUAAGACGAGAAGACCCUGUGGAGCUUCAAAUCAAACCCACCAACCAUGGGCCCAAAGAUUUUUAGUUGGGGCGACUUCGGAGCAUAAAAAACCCUCCAAACAUGUAUUAUUUAAUCUCAUUAAGACUAACACACCAAAACAAUAACAUAAGACCCAGUAACAUCACAAUGUUACCUGAUAAAUGAACCAAGUUACCCCAGGGAUAACAGCGCUAUCCCCCUCUAGAGUCCCUAUCGACAGGGGGGUUUACGACCUCGAUGUUGGAUCAGGACACCCCAAUGGUGCAGACGCCAUUAAAGGUUCGUUUGUUCAACGAUCAAAGUCCUACGUGAUCUGAGUUCAGACCGGAGAAAUCCAGGUCGGUUUCUAUCUAUGAGGCACAAUUCUUAGUACGAAAGGACCAGAAUAAUAGGACCACUUUCAAAAAAACGUCCUAAUCCUAAAUCAUUGCCCACCACUAAAUGACAAAAAUACCACCACUCCGCCCAAAAUCAGGACUU
rnacentral:rRNA from 1 species